GGGGAAUCUUGCACAAUGGCGAAAGCCUGAUGCAGCGACGCCGCGUGCGGGAUGAAGGCCUUCGGGUUGUAAACCGCUUUCAGCAGGGACGAGGCCGCAAGGUGACGGUACCUGCAGAAGAAGCCCCGGCUAACUACGUGCCAGCAGCCGCGGUAAUACGUAGGGGGCAAGCGUUAUCCGGAUUCAUUGGGCGUAAAGAGCUCGUAGGCGGCCCGUUAGGUCAGGAGUCAAAUUCGGGGGCUCAACCCCCGCGCGCUUCUGAUACCGGCGGGCUUGAGGUUGGUAGGGGAAGGUGGAAUUCCCAGUGUAGCGGUGGAAUGCGCAGAUAUUGGGAAGAACACCGGUGGCGAAGGCGGCCUUCUGGGCCAUAACUGACGCUGAGGAGCGAAAGCUAGGGGAGCGAAC
rnacentral:rRNA from 1 species